GGUCAGGAUGAACGCUAGCGGCAGGCUUAACACAUGCAAGUGGAGGGGUAGAGGCCUUUGGGCCUUGAGACCGGCGCACGGGUGCGUAAAGCGUAUGCAAUCUGCCUUCCACAGAGGGAUAGCCCAGAGAAAUUUGGAUUAAUACCUCAUAGCAUCAUGACCCGGCAUCCGGAUAUGAUUAAAGUCACAACGGUGGAAGAUGAGCAUGCGUCCCAUUAGCUAGUUGGUAAGGUAACGGCUUACCAAGGCUACGAUGGGUAGGGGUCCUGAGAGGGAGAUCCCCCACACUGGUACUGAGACACGGACCAGACUCCUACGGGAGGCAGCAGUGAGGAAUAUUGGUCAAUGGGCGCAAGCCUGAACCAGCCAUGCCGCGUGCAGGAUGACGGUCCUAUGGAUUGUAAACUGCUUUUGUACGGGAAGAAACCCUCCUACGUGUAGGAGCUUGACGGUACCGUAAGAAUAAGGAUCGGCUAACUCCGUGCCAGCAGCCGCGGUAAUACGGAGGAUCCAAGCGUUAUCCGGAAUCAUUGGGUUUAAAGGGUCUGUAGGCGGUCUUGUAAGUCAGUGGUGAAAAGCCCAUCGCUCAACGGUGGAACGGCCAUUGAUACUGCUGGACUUGAAUUAUUGGGAAGCAACUAGAAUAUGUAGUGUAGCGGUGAAAUGCUUAUAGAUUACAUGGAAUACCAAUUGCGAAUGCAGGUUGCUACCAAUGGAUUGACGCUGAUGGACGAAAGCGUGAGUAGC
rnacentral:rRNA from 1 species